UUGAACGCUGGCGGCAUGCUUUACCCAUGCAAGUCGAACGGCAGCGCGGGCUUCGGCCUGGCGGCGAGUGGCGAACGGGUGAGUAAUGCAUCGGAACGUGCCCAGUAGUGGGGGAUAGCCCGGCGAAAGCCGGAUUAAUACCGCAUACGACCUGAGGGUGAAAGCGGGGGACCGAAAGGCCUCGCGCUAUUGGAGCGGCCGAUGUCGGAUUAGCUAGUUGGUGGGGUAAAGGCUUACCAAGGCGACGAUCCGUAGCUGGUCUGAGAGGACGACCAGCCACACUGGGACUGAGACACGGCCCAGACUCCUACGGGAGGCAGCAGUGGGGAAUUUUGGACAAUGGGGGCAACCCUGAUCCAGCCAUGCCGCGUGCGGGAAGAAGGCCUUCGGGUUGUAAACCGCUUUUGUUCGGGAAGAAAUCCUCUGGGCUAAUACCCCGGGGGUAUGACGGUACCGGAAGAAUAAGCACCGGCUAACUACGUG
rnacentral:rRNA from 1 species